UACCCAUGAUGUGGACACUUCAAGAGUAGCCCAUUGAAUCGCUCCCAUGUUUCGAAAAAUUAUUCGUCCUCUCUCUAUGUAAACUUUGAAAUUUCCCUGCGAAU
rfam:Citrus clementina cultivar Clemenules unplaced genomic scaffold scaffold_5, whole genome shotgun sequence.